rnacentral:rRNA from 1 species
UGGGGAAUAUUGCACAAUGGGCGCAAGCCUGAUGCAGCCAUGCCGCGUGUGUGAAGAAGGCCUUCGGGUUGUAAAGCACUUUCAGCGAGGAGGAAGGUGGUGAGCUUAAUACGCUCAUCAAUUGACGUUACUCGCAGAAGAAGCACCGGCUAACUCCGUGCCAGCAGCCGCGGUAAUACGGAGGGUGCAAGCGUUAAUCGGAAUUACUGGGCGUAAAGCGCACGCAGGCGGUUUGUUAAGUCAGAUGUGAAAUCCCCGGGCUCAACCUGGGAACUGCAUUGAAACUGGCAAGCUAGAGUCUCGUAGAGGGGGUAGAAUUCCAGGUGGUAGCGGUGAAAUGCGUAGAGAUCUGGAGGAAUACCGGUGGCGAAGGCGGCCCCCUGGACGAAGACUGACCGCUCAGGUGCGAAAGCGUGGGGAGCAAAACAGGAUUAGGAUACCCUGGUAGUCCACGCUGUAAACGAUGUCGAUUUUGGAGGUUGUGCCCUUGAGGCGUGGCUUCCGGAGCUAACGCGUUAAAUCGACCGCCUGGGGAGUACGGCCGCAAGGUUAAAACUUAAAUGAAUUGACGGGGUCAUAGCUG